rnacentral:RNase_P_RNA from 1 species
AAGGCCGUCCAUGAGGAAAGUCCGGGCUCCACAGGGCAAGGAUAACGGGUAACGCCCGCCGAAGGCGACUUCAGGAAAAGUGCAACAGAGAUAUACCGCUGGUUAGGUUUUCCGUUCCAGUAAGGGUGGAAAGGUGCGGUAAGAGCGCACCCAUCGGCUGGGAACAGUCCGAUGCUGUAAACUCUAUCCGGAGCAACACCGGUAUGGGAGCGUCGGGGUUCGUCCCCGAAAGGCUGGCCCGGCCGCUCCCGGGGUGGCUGGAGCGCGCUGGCAACAGCGCGCCUAGAUAGAUGGCUGUCAAAUACAGAACCCGGCUUACAGUUUUGCUCGCAAU